CUCCAAAGGGUUGAGUUCAGUUCAGGGCAACUUCCCUGUUCUGUUAAUUAAACUUUGGGACAUUGAAAUUGGCUGAGGGAAAUUACUGAAUAGAGAAUAUUACUCUAUUCAUAUACUUCUAGCCUAAACAC
ensembl:snoRNA LOC120102630 small nucleolar RNA SNORA36 family